GAUACACGGAUAAUAUAAUAAUAUAAAAUAACAAAAAUUAUUAUGUGAUGAUAAAAAAAAAAAUUCUAAUUAAUAUUAUAUUUUUUUAACAAAUAAAAAAAUAUAUUAUCAAUCUUAAUUAUAGUACAUAUUAAAGUACAAAAAUGUCUGCCGCGAACGAACCGGUCCCGCCGUAGGUUAUUUCUAGGGCGAGUAGUCAUUCAUGGUAGAGGUUAAAUUUGUUUAUGUUUUAUUUUGAAAUCAGGAUUAUAGAUUCAUGGCUUCCAACAGACUCAAGAAUCUGCUAUUAAUUACCCCACACUUUCGGUGUUAAGAAAUCCUCGAUUAAGAGACUGAAUAUAAAUGCUGAUAAAAGAGACCAAGCAGGCAAAUAAAAUUUUAUUAAUAUGAUCUGCCGUGUACAUGGCUUAAGUAGGGGCAUUUCCCCACUACAUAAAUUUUAUAAGACUAGAUACUCAAUUUAGCAACUUGGUGGUCGAUUGAAGUUUUAGGUUUAGUUUAACGACUUUUCGGUCAUUUGAAUUUGGGUUUAGUUUAGCGACGUUUCGGUCGUCUGAAUAUCGGUUUAAUUUAACGACGUUUCGGUCGAUUGAAUUUGGGUUUAGUUUAACGACGUUCCGGUCGUUUGGAUUUGGGUUUAAUUUAACGACAUUCCGGUCGUUGGGUUUAGUUUAACGACGUUCCGGUCGUUGGGUUUAGUUUACCGACGUUCCGGUCGUUGGGUUUAAUUUACCGACGUUUCGAUCGUUUGAAACCGAGAUGUUUAUGAAACUGAUUCAUAAAAUUAAUUCAUGCUAGGAGCCCGUUUGUAAAGUCCAUUGAAUUGAUGAAAUUAAUUCAUGAUAUGGGCCAUUUGGAGAGCCCAUUGAAUUAAUUUAUGAUAAGGAGCCAUUUGGAGGGCCCAUUAAUUCAUAAAAUUAACUUAUGACAAGGAGGGCCCAUGAAAUUAAUUCAUAGAAUUAAUCCGUGAUAAAGGGCCUAUUUGGCAGACCCAUGAAAUUAAAUUGUCAAAUCAAUUCAUGAUAGGGGGCCUUUGGAAAGCCCAGAAAAUUGAUUCAUAAUAAAGGGCCCAUUUGGAAAGCCCAUGAAUUCGGUUUGGGUUGGAGGUAUUUUGAUGACAUAGGCUUGGUAGAUUUGAUUGGGUUUUAUUUAUGGACUUUGGAUUUUGGAUCUUUGGGUUUGGAUCUUUAUUUGUGGACUAUGGGUUUUGGAUCUUUAUUUGUGGACUUUGGAUUUUUUUGGGAUUUAGUUUGUGGACUUUGGAAUUUUUGAGAUUUUAUUUGUGGACUUUUGGAUUUUGGAUCUUUGGGUUUUGAAUUAAGAAA
rnacentral:lncRNA from 1 species